rnacentral:lncRNA from 1 species
GCAAGAAAAUUUAAGAAAUAAAAAUCCUAACUAAUCAUUAUCUAGCAAAAAAUCUAGUGAUAAGACCCAAAAGACUUUUAUAAGAUAGAAAAUUACCAAGAAAAGAAAAUGAAUCAGAAAGAUUAAAUGAAGUUAGGAAAUCCUGAUAGAGUUGUCAUGCUAGAUAUAACUUACAAAAUUACAGCCAAGAAUUUCAGUAUCAUAUAAUCAUGACAUGCUACCAUCGUACAACAUAGCAGGUGCCAAGGCAUGUGUUCUCCCAAUUAUUACACCUGGGACUCAACAAGUGUGUUCACAUAAUUCCAGUAUGAUAUGACCAGGGCAACUAAGCAUUACUUUCAAGAGGCGUCCAAUUACAGAAGGCUCUGCAAAUGAAAAUAGAAGACUGGUGGGAUGCAAUAAUUGCUUAGAACAAAAGUCAGAUCUAGCAAUGGGAAAACAUCGUGUGAUGAGAUUAAAGGCUACCAAAAUUUUGUAGCUAUUGGUAUUGGUGAAGUUGGCUCAACCCAAGCAGAAGGCUUGAUAAGACUAUAAAGUGAAUUUGAGGUCUCCAAAGAGACUUGUUUUUAGGGUACUGAAAUCAGUGGAUUUUGUAGCUAUUGGUAUUGGUGAAGUUGGCUCAACCCAAGCAGAAGGCUUGAUAAGACUAUAAAGUGAAUUUGAGGUCUCCAAAGAGACUUGUUUUUAGGGUACUGAAAUCAGUGGCUAUUAUAAUAAGUCCAAUACUUUAAUAAUUUUAGUACCGAUUAUUUCUUGAAUGGAUCAUCAUGAGGCAGGAUAAUAACCUCAUGCAAUUGUCCAUCAGCUCCUAAUGAUCUUAACUUUCACUUUCAUGUUAAAAUAACCGUUGAACCUCAUGAACUACAGGAUUUAUAACACACCAGAAGUCCAUUCGUAUAGGCUAUUCUAUUGACCAUAAGAGAAGGCCAGUGAAAAAUUAGAAAAAGAAGGCAGAAGCACUUCAAGAAUAUUCCCGUCACCACUGUCACUUUCACAUCUAUUUUCUUUGUUCUUUUUUUUUUCUGUUCUUAUCAGCAUCAAAAGAUUUUUUUUCUAAAUACCUAUUUGAUUAAGGCAGUCACCGCAAAUGUAAGAGAGAGUAUAUUUUGUAUCAAUAUCCUGAAUUUGGCUUUGCUACUAUACUUGUGAGCUGUGAAAUGAAUGUCAGCUUAGUGAAUUUGGGGAAUAGAGAGGCAAAAGAAUGAUGGCUAAACCAAUAUCACUAGCUCAGAAGACACUAGGCUAAGCCAUAGGCAUUGAUACACAAGACUGCUAAGUCCCCAGACGUUUAAAACUUGUCACAUAACCAACAAAAAAAAUUGAUAUGGAAAAUUUUGUCAUUGUCCAUCACACUGAAAAGUAAGAUAAUACAACACAAGUUCAACAAAAAGAAUGUACUAUGGAAAUUUGAUCAGGACAUAUACAUAUAAUAA